AAUAGAUACCCCGGUAGUCCACGCCGUAAACGAUGAGUGCUAAGUGCUAGGGGGUUUCCGCCCCUUAGUGCUGCAGCUAACGCAUUAAGCACUCCGCCUGGGGAGUACGGUCGCAAGACUGAAACUCAAAGGAAUUGACGGGGGCCCGCACAAGCGGUGGAGCAUGUGGUUUAAUUCGAAGCAACGCGAAGAACCUUACCAGGUCUUGACAUCCCGCUGACCGCUAUGGAGACAUAGCUUUCCCUUCGGGGACAGCGGUGACAGGUGGUGCAUGGUUGUCGUCAGCUCGUGUCGUGAGAUGUUGGGUUAAGUCCCGCAACGAGCGCAACCCUUGUCCUUAGUUGCCAUCAUUCAGUUGGGCACUCUAAGGAGACUGCCGUACAAAUACGGAGGAAGGUGGGGAUGACGUCAAAUCAUCAUGCCCCUUAUGACCUGGGCUACACACGUGCUACAAUGGACGGUACAAACGGUUGCGAAGUCGCGAGACGGAGCCAAUCCGAGAAAGCCGUUCUCAGUUCGGAUUGCAGGCUG
rnacentral:rRNA from 1 species